GGAAGUAAAAGUCGUAACAAGGUCUCCGUUGGUGAACCAGCGGAGGGAUCAUUACUGAGUUUACGCUCUGCAACCCUUUGUGAACAUACCUAUAACUGUUGCUUCGGCGGGUAGGGUCCCCGUGACCCUCCCGGCCCCCCGCCCCCGGGCGGGUCGGCGCCCGCCGGAGGAUAACCAAACUCUGAUUUAACGACGUUUCUUCUGAGUGGUACAAGCAAAUAAUCAAAACUUUUAACAACGGAUCUCUUGGUUCUGGCAUCGAUGAAGAACGCAGCGAAAUGCGAUAAGUAAUGUGAAUUGCAGAAUUCAGUGAAUCAUCGAAUCUUUGAACGCACAUUGCGCCCGCCAGCAUUCUGGCGGGCAUGCCUGUUCGAGCGUCAUUUCAACCCUCAAGCUCUGCUUGGUGUUGGGGCCCUACAGCAGAUGUAGGCCCUCAAAGGUAGUGGCGGACCCUCCCGGAGCCUCCUUUGCGUAGUAACUUUACGUCUCGCACUGGGAUCCGGAGGGACUCUUGCCGUAAAACCCCCCAAUUUUCCAAAGGUUGACCUCGGAUCAGGUAGGAAUACCCGCUGAACUUAAGCAUAUCAAUAAGCGGAGGA
rnacentral:rRNA from 1 species